AUCGAGAAGAAGAAUAAGAACAAGCACAAGAACGGGAGCACAUCCGGUUCAAUGAGCAAGUAUUUCCGCUGUCCACGAGCCGUGUUCUCAAUUGAAGUGGCUACUGGGCCAAAGGUGCAGCCGACAGACACGGAGGACAUGCGGACGGGAGCCCAACCUGUAUUUGGACACAUGUGAACAGCCAAUCAC